rnacentral:rRNA from 1 species
AGUGAACGCUGGCGGUAGGCCUAACACAUGCAAGUCGAACGGCAGCACAGUAAGAGCUUGCUCUUACGGGUGGCGAGUGGCGGACGGGUGAGGAAUACAUCGGAAUCUACUUUUUCGUGGGGGAUAACGUAGGGAAACUUACGCUAAUACCUCAUACGACCUACGGGUGAAAGCAGGGGAUCUUCGGACCUUGCGCGAUUGAAUGAGCCGAUGUCGGAUUAGCUAGUUGGCGGGGUAAAGGCCCACCAAGGCGACGAUCCGUAGCUGGUCUGAGAGGAUGAUCAGCCACACUGGAACUGAGACGCGGUCCAGACUCCUACGGGAGGCAGCAGUGGGGAAUAUUGGACAAUGGGCGCAAGCCUGAUCCAGCCAUACCGCGUGGGUGAAGAAGGCCUUCGGGUUGUAAAGCCCUUUUGUUGGGAAAGAAAAGCAGCAGGUUAAUAACCCGCUGUUCUGACGGUACCCAAAGAAUAAGCACCGGCUAACUUCGUG